rnacentral:rRNA from 1 species
GACGAACGCUGGCGGCGCGCUUAACACAUGCAAGUCGAACGGAAAGGCCUGCUUUCCCUUGUGGAUUGCGGGUACUCGAGUGGCGAACGGGUGAGUAACACGUGAGUGAUCUGCCCCCAACUUGGGUAUAAGCCUGGGAAACUGGGUCUAAUUCCCGAUAGGACUGCAGGGUGGUGCCUGUGGUGGAAAACGAUUUUCUAGUGGUUGGGGAUGAGCUCGCGGCCUAUCAGCUUGUUGGUGGGGUAAUGGCCUACCAAGGCGGCGACGGGUAGCCGGCCUGAGAGGGUGGACGGCCACAUUGGGACUGAGAGACGGCCCAGACUCCGACGGGAGGCAGCAGUGGGGAAUAUUGCACAAUGGGCGGAAGCCUGAUGCAGCGACGCCGCGUGGGGGAUGACGGCCUUCGGGUUGUAAACUCCUUUCGACCGCGAGGAAGCCACCUGGUUGGAAGGGUGGUGACGGUAGUGGUAGAAGAAGCACCGGCUAACUACGUG